GAUAGAAUUUCUAGGAGUAGCGAAGGAAGGUUGAUCAGUAAUGUAAAAACAGAAAAAGAUGACUGAAAAGGUCAGAGCAAUCAGUAUGGAGAGAGGCAAGAAAUGACAGGCCAACCGACUAACUUAAGAUUGCAUUGCAGUUAGACUGGAAGAGAGAUGACUAAGCCCAGAAACAUCGGAUAGUUUAGCUGUUUGAGAAAUAGAAGAUACAUUGAGAGAUACAGAGCGUUUUGAAUAUUGAGUGUAAGGUGGAAAUAUUGUAGAUAGUGGAAGAAUCUGCAAGGAUAGUCCAUGAUAAUACUUGCAUCUGAUACAUCCCAAAGCGCUUCACCAGAUUUUCUGUAAAUUGGUUUGGGUGAUUUUCCACUGUGAUAGACUGAAUGCGAGGAUAACCAUUGGCUGAUACUCCAGUGCAGUGGGUGUAUUAUUGGACAUAACAUCCUUCGAUGAGGCAUUAAACCAAGAUCGCAUAUUUGGAAAGUGAAGGAAGUUUCUCCUGCUAUCCCGAUCGAUAUUCCCACAGCCUGAAUAGAAAUCAUAAUUGACCAGAUGUACUGUGAGCAAUCAUCAUUUCCUGCCACGGUAUUAACUUGCAACGGCAAUGGUUUGGAAUAUUAAAGCCAAAUAUCCGACAAUAGUUGCUUCCAAGCCCUUUACAGCCUAAGGACGAUUCAGAAACAUGAGAUAUGCGACACCAUUUGUAGGGAUGACUGAUGUUUAGUCUCAGUUUCUGUUCAGCCAGUAGAGAUGGACCAACCCACGCGGAUGAGUCACUCACUCUGUGUUCUUCUGAGAUUCAUUACCGUGCUCCAAGAUGAUGUGGGAACAUGCAGCUGAGCUCCAUUUCUGAUAGGCUGACUUGCAUUAUCAUCCACACAGCCACGCACAAGGUGCAUGAUCAGGGAUUCUCCUCUGUGCUGUGCAGUGUAUGGUAACAGUAAACCUUCUCCUUUCCAAGAAGCUUGCACAACAGGCAGAGCAAGCUUCUAACUUGGACACUCAAAAAACACCACGUGAUUGCACAUCAAUUACCCUGAGGGUUUACUUUGCUCCUGCUGAAGUGGAUGUUUUUCUGUUUUUAUUUAACAUGUUUUAGGCUGCUGUGGACGGAUUUCAAAAGCCAUCAAACACCCAAGGAUUCGUACAGUUGUAGUAAAAUGAUUGGGGAGUGUUAGGGUUGCAGUGAGUUGUACUGUAGAGUUUGUAAUAAUAA